GACGAACGCUGGCGGCGUGCUUAACACAUGCAAGUCGAACGCUGAAGCUUGGUGCUUGCACUGGGUGGAUGAGUGGCGAACGGGUGAGUAAUACGUGAGUAACCUGCCCUUGACUCUGGGAUAAGCCUGGGAAACUGGGUCUAAUACUGGAUACGACAUGUCACCGCAUGGUGGUGUGUGGAAAGGGUUUUACUGGUUUUGGAUGGGCUCACGGCCUAUCAGCUUGUUGGUGGGGUAAUGGCUCACCAAGGCGACGACGGGUAGCCGGCCUGAGAGGGUGACCGGCAACACUGGGACUGAGACACGGCCCAGACUCCUACGGGAGGCAGCAGUGGGGAAGAUUGCACAAUGGGCGGAAGCCUGAUGCAGCGACGCCGCGUGAGGGAUGACGGCCUUCGGGUUGUAAACCUCUUUCAGCACGGAAGAAGCGAAAGUGACGGUACGUGCAGAAGAAGCGCCGGCUAACUACGUG
rnacentral:rRNA from 1 species